rnacentral:lncRNA from 1 species
GGUGUGAUUUGUGAGUUUGUGUGUGGUUUGAGAAGGAAAGUUGCGGGUAUUUAUAGAAAAGCAGGGCUCGCUAAUUCCUCUUAAAAGGUUGACUCGUAAAUUCCACGUAAGCUUAAUCGUCGUAAAAAACUCGUAAAGCUAAACGCGGGCCUUUGUAUUUCCUUGCUACUUCCUCGUACAAUAAAACACAGGCCUUUAUAAUUCCUCGUAACUUUACGAGGAAAUAACGAGGAUAAGUAAUCUUAUAUAUACUCCCGUGCGCUCACUCUUUCUUUCCUCUCCACUUACUCUCUAUUUCGUAGCAAUGGUAAGUCUCUCUAAUUUCUCUCUAAUUUGAUUAGUUUAUGAUAGAUUAGGUGGUUAGUAUAGGGAAUUUAGAUAUGUUUACGGUUUUUAUGUUAAUUAGUGUUGACCAGGUGGAUAAUGUAGGGAAUUAUACUGUUGAUAUUAAUUUUAAAAAUUAAUUUUUUUUUCCAGGUUCGAAAGAGCAGACUUACUGCCCAUUACAGAGAGAUGUUCGGUGAGCCGGGUAGUCAUUUAGACCUGUCUUCUUCAGCUCCCGGUUCUUCGGGUCAGGAGACUGUCCCCGAGACUCAGUCUUCUCAGAGAGUCUCUCGGUCUCCUUCUUCUAGUGCACCAUCGG